rnacentral:rRNA from 1 species
AUGGAAGAAGAUACAUUUAUGGUUGCAGCUGCUGUCCUUGACCCAUAUACACAUUACAAGCUGAACCUUUGCAACCACACAGAUUAUGCCACUUCACUAACAGAUGCGAUAGCGAAGAUAUUAGACCCAGUGAGUGCUCUUUCAGCCAUUGAUGAAGUGAGCAAGUUCAGGGAGUGCCAAGGGAGGUUUGGGACCAGAUUGGCAGAAGAAGCUGCGGCGAGAAUGGGGCCAACCCAAUGGUGGUUUCAGUUUGGAGGGGAUGUUCCUGCAUUGCAGAAAUGUGCAAUGAGAAUUUGCUCACAAUGUGUCUCCUCUAGUGGGUGUGAGAGAAAUUGGAGUGCUUUUGCUUUGGUGCACACAAAGCAAAGAAGUCGUCUUCUAUAUGACAAGCUCCACAAGCUAGUUUUUGUACGCUACAACUUAAAGAUACGUGCUGAAGAAGAUCAAGAGAAAGAGAGAGAUAUAGAUAAAGAAAUUGAUCCAAGUGCAUUGCUAAUGGAUACCACAAUGUUUGAUGAAACAAACCCAAUAAUGGAGUGGCUGAAUGAGGAUGUAGAGGAUCCGAUUGUGGAUGGAGCUGAUGCAGCUAGUGCUGUUUUUGAGCAAAGAAGGCGCCUCAACUCAAGCAUGAAGGCGUCUUAUGUUGGUUCAAAGGGUAAUAACAAGAAAAGAAAGAGGAAUGAUGAUGAUGAGAAUGAGUUUCUUGAAACUGAGAGUGAGGAUGAUGAAGAAGAGAAUGAAUAUGUUGAUAAUGACAUCGAGGAUGAUGAUGGGGUGAGUGAGGAUGAUGAGGAUGGUGAACAAGAUCAGCUAGAGACACAAAUGCAACUUGAAGAAGAGACACAAGUACAAGUUCAAAAGGAGGCACCAACAAGCACUGGCCAUUUGGAGACUAGAUCUGGACGACUUAUUAGGAAGAAGACCAAGAACGUCAACAGCCUCUACUCGUAA